AUGCCGGCGCAAACUUGGCUGCUAUUUUCCACCAAAAAAAUCUUGACCCUGGUUCUUUGGGAUUCUCAAAGAUGUAAAGUUUAUUUUUAUGAGCCCUCGUUUUGGCACUACAGAUUAGAAGAAGAAAAAAAAGGGGGAAAGGAACCACAGAGGUCAAACAGCAAGAAGAAAUGGGAGCCAUCUAUUCCUGGAGCCCAGGCCUGCCAAACGCAGAAGUGUGAAUAUUCUUUGUCCCACAGUUCAAGGGCUGUUCUUUUGUUAAUAGUUCAAACACAGAUACAGUUUCUUCAGAGCCUUGUCUACACCUGGAUAAGUAAGGAUGAAAAAAAUGCACAACAUACAUCACCAAGAAAAAAGGUUGUGCCUGGCAGUGUAAUUGAUUCUAUAACAAAGAGAAAAGCUUCGAAAUGUGAGUGGACAGCAUCAUGAGCAGCUUUCCUUGCACACCUGUGGAAAUGCACAUUCAUUAAACACAUCUGUGUUAAGUGCACAUGCAUAAGGCAGAGUGUUAGAGGGAUGUGAAAAAUGGGUGAUGAUGCUCAUGUAUGAGAUUCUCCCACGACUCUGAUGUGC
rnacentral:lncRNA from 1 species